AACCCUAGGGUUAGGGUUGUUCAUUAGGGUUAGGGUUAGGGUUAGGGUUAGGGUUAGGAAAAUGAUGACAUGUAGGCCCAACAUUAGGGUUGGGAUUAUGUUUGGGGCCCAUUUCAAGAAUAUCACAUGGGGUUAGAAUUGGGACAAGGGUUAUGUUUACAAACAGGGCUAGUUUUAAAAAUAACCCCAGGGUUAGGUUUGUUCAUUAGGGUUAGGGUUAGGGUUAGG